GUUCGAUCCUGACCACGGGUGCUGUCUGUAUGGAGUCUGUGCGUUCUCUCUGUGGCCAGCGUGGGUUUUCUCCUGGUGCUCCGGUUUCCUCCCACACUCCAAAGACGUGCAGGUUUGUAGGUACGUUGGCUUCUGUAAUUGUCCGAAGAGUGUAGGAACGAGUAUGUUGAACUAGAUUAAAUUGUAAAAUUGUCCCUU